AAUUAAUGAACUUGUAAGUAGUAAUUGUCUUGAAAACAAUAAAAAGAACAUCAAAAUUCUAUUAAUUU
rnacentral:tRNA from 1 species